GGAGGGUUCGCAUAGUGGUCUAGUGCACUCGCUUGGAAAGCGAGCGUGGGGCAACCCACCGAGAGUUCGAAUCUCUCACCCUCCG
rnacentral:tRNA from 1 species